UACGAAGGGGCGAGCGUUGUUCGGAUUUACUGGGCGUAAAGGGCGCGCAGGCGGCGCAUUUUGUCAGGCGUGAAAGCCCCGGGCUUAACCUGGGAACUGCGUUUGAUACGGAUGGGCUAGAGUCGGGAGAGGAGAGUGGAAUUCCCAGUGUAGAGGUGAAAUUCGUAGAUAUUGGGAAGAACACCGGUGGCGAAGGCGGCCCAACUGGGCGAGC
rnacentral:rRNA from 1 species